AGUAGUAGUGGAAGUCACUUGGCUAGUACAUAUGGUGGAUUAGCAAUUUUGAAGCUAGUUGGGGAUGACUUGGAAAUUAUUGAUACUGAAUCUAUGUUAAUCACGAUGAAACAUCUUUAGCAACCUGAUGGGAGUUUUAUACUGUUCAUACUAGUGCAAGAGAAGGACCUCCAAUUUGUAUAUGGGCUGCUGCGUUAACUUCUUUGUUGAGCGAAUGAAUGACAGUAUUUCGUUUCACUAUCACUCAAUUGAUGGCGAGCUCAACUCACUGCAUUACUACUUGCAUUUCCAGAAGAUAUAAUCUUUGAGAAUUGAGAUUUUGGCAAGGCUGAAAACGAAUGCA